UACGGAGGGGACUAGCGUUGUUCGGAAUUACUGGGCGUAAAGCGCACGUAGGCGGCUUUGUAAGUUAGAGGUGAAAGCCCGGGGCUCAACCCCGGAAUUGCCUUUAAGACUGCAUCGCUUGAAUCCGGGAGAGGUGAGUGGAAUUCCGAGUGUAGAGGUGAAAUUCGUAGAUAUUCGGAAGAACACCAGUGGCGAAGGCGGCUCACUGGACCGGUAUUGACGCUGAGGUGCGAAAGCGUGGGGGAGCAAACAGG
rnacentral:rRNA from 1 species